UACAGAGGGUGCGAGCGUUAAUCGGAAUUACUGGGCGUAAAGCGUGCGUAGACGGUUAUUUAAGUCGGGUGUGAAAGCCCCGGGCUCAACCUGGGAAUUGCAUUCGAGACUGAAUAGCUAGGGUACGGUAGAGGGAAGUGGAAUUUCCGGUGUAGCGGUGAAAUGCGUAGAUAUCGGAAGGAACAUCAGUGGCGAAAGCGGCGCACUGGACCAUAACUGACGCUGAUGCGCGAAAGCUAGGGGAGCAAACAGG
rnacentral:rRNA from 1 species